rnacentral:rRNA from 1 species
UACGAAGGGGGCUAGCGUUGCUCGGAAUCACUGGGCGUAAAGGGUGCGUAGGCGGGUCUUAAGUCAGGGGUGAAAUCCUGGAGCUCAACUCAAGAACUGCCUUUGAUACUGAAGAUCUUGAGUUCGGGAGAGGUGAGUGGAACUGCGAGUGUAGAGGUGAAAUUCGUAGAUAUUCGCAAGAACACCAGUGGCGAAGGCGGCUCACUGGCCCGAUACUGACGCUGAGGCGCGAAAGCGUGGGGAGCAAACAGGG